rnacentral:rRNA from 1 species
CUUGUACACACCGCCCGUCACACCAUGGGAGCGGGUUCUGCCAGAAGUAGUUAGCCUAACCGCAAGGAGGGCGACUUACCACGGCAGGGUUCGUGACUGGGGUG